ACUAAACCAAAUUAUAAAAAAUCCAAACCGUAUUUCUCAUUGUAUUAAAUUGGUUUGAUUUGCAGUUUUUAUCCAAUAACUUUCACCCUCAUGAAACAUUGAUUUCUCUUCCUAAAAAAUGCCAUCUCCUCUACUACGCCCCUUCCUGGACAUUUUUUGCCAGAAAUGUGGUGACUGGUGAUCUAGUCUUUCAAAUCGCUCUGAUCUAUACUCUCAAAUGGAUAUUCGGUCAUCUAAUCUUCAAUUAAGUGUGUUGAGAAUCACCAAUAUAGCUGCUAUUGACCAGUUGGUAAUAAUCAGACUAGGUGGUGCAGAUGAUGGAAUUUAGCCAUGGAAGUUGGUGAAAUUCAGCUGUGGGUGUUGCAAGUUUGAAUAUACUAGUAACUGAUUGAUGCAAUACCAAUUGCUAAUUCAGAUGAACAUAUGAAUAACAUUAGCAAAGAGUUGUUAGAAGGUGCUACUCCGUAGAUAAGCAAAGAUUAUUAUACUUCUAUGUUGUAGGAAUAUUUUUAUGUAAACAAUCUCGAAGAUCAUGUACUUGAUAUAGUUAAGCGAGGUCAUAUGACAUUUUAAGCUAUUUAUAUGGAUUUUUGAUCAUCUAUAUAAAUUAUUUUGACUA